rnacentral:misc_RNA from 1 species
GGAUGAAGAACGUAGCGAAAUGCGAUACGUAAUGUGAAUUGCAGAAUUCAGUGAAUCAUCGAAUCUUUGAACGCAUAUUGCGCCUUCUGGUAUUCCGGAGGGCAUGCUUGUUUGAGUAUCAGUAACAACCUCAACUCUUCUUCAUUGCGGAGAAAGAGUUGGAUUUGAGCAUUUCCACAAGUUCGUCUUGGAGGAUUGCUUGAAAUAUGAGGUUCGGCCGGCAGUUGCCUGGGCUACAAGCAUUUCAUACUUAAUCCCGUCAAACGGAUUAUAUCCUUUGCUGCAGCCAACAUACAGGGUAACUUUGCCAGUGUUCCGACUGAUGCAGGAAAGUUGAGAACAGCUUUUUGCUUUCUCUUCUAAACUCGAUAUCAAAUCAAGUAAGACUACCCGCUGAACUUAAGCAUAUCAAUAAGCGGAGGA